rnacentral:rRNA from 1 species
AUACGGAGGAUCCGAGCGUUAUCCGGAUUUAUUGGGUUUAAAGGGUGCGCAGGCGGGAGAUUAAGUCGGCGGUGAAAUUUUUCAGCUCAACUGGAAAAGUGGCUUUGAAACUGGUUUCCUUUAGUGUAGAUGAAGGAGGCGGAACUUGUGGGGUAGCGGUGAAAUGCAUAGAUAUCACGAGGAACUCCGAUUGUGCAGGCAGCUUACUAAACUACUACUGACGCUCAGGCACGAAGGCGUGGGGAUCAAACAGGAUUAGAUACCCUGGUAGUCCACGCAGUAAACGAUGAUUACUAGCUGUUUGCGAUACAAUGUAAGCGGCUGAGCGAAAGCGUUAAGUAAUCCACCUGGGGAGUACGUUCGCAAGAAUGAAACUCAAAGGAAUUGACGGGG